GACAAUCUAUUUUUCUUUUAUCUAUACAUCUCAAAUAUGGUAAAUUGAAUGAUCUUUUAGAUAACUUUUCAUUAAUGAUGGUGUACUAAAGAGCUUUUCAAAUUAGUGCCUUUAUUAGAAUUUUGUUCUUGGGUAUCUCUCUCGACAUCAAAUAUGCUUUGAUCAAGGACAUCUACGAUUUUUUUAAUUCAAUCUUACUAAUCUGUUUCUUAUUAAUGUUUUUUUCUUGUAAUUUGUUGACCAAGACAUGUGCUAAGCUAUCGCAGAUGCUAAUUUAGACAAUGAUUAGCCAAUUUAUUGUAUAAACUCGAUAUUUUUUUUACCUCAGCCUUCAGGAAUGUUGCUAAGUGUGCUUGUGCUUUAUCUACGUAUUUCUUUUUUCUUUCAUCCUAGGCCCUAAACUCAUCAUUCACUUACUCAACCACCA
rnacentral:lncRNA from 1 species